UGGGGAAUAUUGCACAAUGGGCGGAAGCCUGAUGCAGCGACGCCGCGUGAGGGAUGACGGCCUUCGGGUUGUAAACCUCUUUCAGCAGGGACGAAGCGUGAGUGACGGUACCUGCAGAAGAAGCGCCGGCCAACUACGUGCCAGCAGCCGCGGUAAGACGUAGGGCGCGAGCGUUGUCCGGAUUUAUUGGGCGUAAAGAGCUCGUAGGCGGCUUGUCGCGUCGACCGUGAAAACUUGGGGCUCAACCCCAAGCCUGCGGUCGAUACGGGCAGGCUAGAGUUCGGUAGGGGAGACUGGAAUUCCUGGUGUAGCGGUGAAAUGCGCAGAUAUCAGGAGGAACACCGGUGGCGAAGGCGGGUCUCUGGGCCGAUACUGACGCUGAGGAGCGAAAGCGUGGGGAGCGAACAGGAUUAGAUACCCUGGUAGUCCACGCUGUAAACGUUGGGCGCUAGGUGUGGGGGGCCUCUCCGGUUCCCUGUGCCGCAGCUAACGCAUUAAGCGCCCCGCCUGGGGAGUACGGCCGCAAGGCUAAAACUCAAAGGAAUUGACGGGGUCAUAGCUGUUUCCU
rnacentral:rRNA from 1 species